CAGAUCAAUGCAAGUGUGGCCAAGGGACUUGGGUUUUACUUUCAUUGCUGAGUCUGGUUUUCUUGAGUUUCAGGAUAUUCGAGCCUUCAUACUUAGACUGAAUCAGACCACCAGCUUCUCCUGUUUGCAAGUGGCAGAUAAUGGGACUUCUCAUCUUCCAUAAUAUGAAAUCUUGAAAAAAGCAGAAAUGAAGGAGAAGAAGGCAAGGAAGAGACAAGACCCAGGAUGAGGAAAUGGAAAGCAGUAUAACAAUCUGUUGGCAUUAGAAUUGGUUAUACUGUGCUAGCCAGACCAAAUUAUGAUACCACGUAUUUUUACAUGGUAACAGUCCUGUGCCUGUUUUCCAUUCAUUCCUCCCAGUCCAAGAACUACCUUCUUCACAGGGCCGACCCCUGCAGGCUGCAGUUCUCAAACUCCCUUGGCAGCUGAGUUCUGGCUGGGUCAGCCCUGGGAACAAUGGCAGGAGACAGGAGGGCACGCAGGAGCAGAGGAAGAGGCGGGGUCUCUCUCCUCCCCCUCUGCCUUGGGUGGCAUCUGUAAUAGAGACCAGGUUUCCUCCCAGCCUCCAGUCCUGCAGUAGUUCCAGCUUUCAUCAGGAGACUGUGAAAUAUAGGAAUGCCACCUCUUCUCUUCAUGCCUUCUGCCCUGGAGCUGAUAGUGGUUUCCAGCAUCUGUUAAUCUCUGGGUUACCACAUUACCACGAAUCCGGCUUCUCAGUUCCACCAGCCAUUCCCUGCAUUAGAUUCCCUCUAUUUAAAAUACCUGUGGCUGAUCCCAUCUGACACCUUACAUAAUUUGCCCAUCGUAUUACUUGAUAUUGGCAUGUGAGCAUGUGUGCACAAACACACACACACACAACACACAACACACACACACACACACACACACAGCUUUUCUUAAUAGACCCUACAGGAAAGAACUAAGGCAUUUAUGAACUGGAUCUUAAGGGAAGAUAGAAUAUUUUUGCAAUCACUUUCUUCAAAACUGACUGGAAGGAAGGCUCUGCCUAACUGCCUUUCACUUGUCUACUUUCUUUUUGGGGUUUUGGCACCCUCCUCAUGUGGACAAGUGGAGGAAGGCCCUAGAAGUUGACCUGGUGAAAUUGACCUUAGAUCUCAUCUCACAUACCAAGACAAUCCUGAUUCCAUGGAAAACCCCCAUGACUGAGCAGCUUCCUCUUGCUUUAGAAAGUUUAACAUUUUGAUUGUUUUUCUUCUUCCUAUGAUGUAGCUGGACUUGGUAGAUAUGAUACUCAAGCUAUUUUAAAAUGUGACUCAGACACCAGGCCAUGUAAUCCUGUUUUUAUAAUUCUGUGGUUAAAUGUGCACCUUCAAAAUGUAUUUGUUGGAACUGUUUAAACAUUGUUUUAUUUUAAACAUUGUUUUAUUUUAUUUUAGUUAUACGUGACAUUGGAAUGUAUUUUGACAUAUCAUACAUACAUGGAGUAUAAUUUCCCAUUCUUGUGGUUGUACAUGAUGUGGAGUUAUACUGGUCAUGUAUUCAUAUAUGAACCUAGGAAAAUUAUGUCUGACUCAUUCUACUGUCUUUCCCAUUCCCAUUCCCACUCCCUUCCCACCACUCCUCCCCAUCCAAUUCAGUGAAUUUCCACUCAUCCCCCAUCCCAACCACCUCUAUUUUGAGUCAACAUCCAUGUAUCAGAGAGAACAUUCAGCCUUUAGUUUUUUGGAAUUGGCUUAUUUCACUUAGCACAAUAGUCUCCAGUUCUAUUCAUUUACCAAAAAAUGCCAUAAUUUUAUUUUUCUUUAUGGCUGAGUAAUAUUUCAUCAUGUAUAUAUACCAUAUUUUCUUUAUUCAUUCAUCUGUUGAAGGGCACCUAGGUUAGUUCCAUAGCUUAACUAUUGUAAAUUGAGCUGCUAUAAACAUUGAUGUGGUAUAUCACUAUAGUAUGCUGAUUUUAAGUCCUUUGGGUAUAAAUGGAGGAGUGGGAUAGCUGGGUCAAAAGGUGGUUCCAUUCCAAAUUUUCUGAGGAAUCUCCAUGCUGCUUUCCAUAGUGGUUGCACCAAUUUGUAUUCCCACCAACAAUGUAUGAGUGUACUUUUUCUCCUAUAUCCUCACCCACAAUUAUUGUUGCUUGUAUUCUUGAUAAUUGCCAUUCUGACAGGAGUGAAAUCUUAGAAUAGUUUUGAUUUGCAUUUCUCUAAUUGAAGUAGUUGUUGAAUAUUUUUUCAUAUAUUUGUUGGUUGAUUGUAUUUCUUCUCCUGUGAAGUGUCUGUUCAGUUCCUUAGCCCAUUUGUUGAUUGGGUUAUUUUUUGUUUUGGUGUUAAGUUUUUGAUUUUUUUUAUAUGUCCUGGAGAUUAAUGCUCUAUCUGAAGUGCAGGUGGCAAAGAGUUUCUUCCAUUCUUUGGGCUCUUUGUCCAUGUUCUUGAUUGUUUCCUUUGCUGUGAAGAAGCUUUUUAGUUUGAUGCCAUCCCAUUUAUUGAUUCUUGAUUUCAUGUAUUGUACUUUAGGAGUCUUGUUGAGGAAUUCAGUUCUUAAGUCAACUUCAUGGAGAUUUGGGCCUGCUUUUUCUUCUAGUAGGUGCAGGGUCUGUUCUAAUGGGCCUUGAUCCACUUUGAGUUGAGUUUUG